rnacentral:rRNA from 1 species
AUUGAACGCUGGCGGCAGGCCUAACACAUGCAAGUCGAGCGAGCGGCGGACGGGUGAGUAAUGUCUGGGAAACUGCCUGAUGGAGGGGGAUAACUACUGGAAAAGGUAGCUAAUACCGCAUACCAUCAGAUGUGCCCAGAUGGGAUUAGCUAGUAGGCGGGGUAACGGCUCACCUAGGCGACGAUCCCUAGCUGGUCUGAGAGGAUGACCAGCCACACUGGAACGUAGACACGGUCCAGACGCCUACGGGAGGCAGCAGUGGGGAAUAGCGCACAAUGGGCGUAAGCCUGAUGCAGCAAUCACGCGUGUGUGAUGAAGGCCUUCGGGUUGUAAAGCACUUUCAGCGGGGAGGCUCUACCAGCAGAAGAAGUACCAGCUCACUCCGUGCCAGCCGCCGCGGUAAGGC